rnacentral:lncRNA from 1 species
GAGUUCUGCGCAGGCGCUGGCGUGGGCGAGGCGGGGCUCGGGGCUCGCGGUCGCUGUAGCCGCGCGGGGAUCUGGGGUUUCUCUGGGACAGCGGCGGCGGCGGUGGGCGGACCGUGGCGCGGGGACGAGCGGCCGGUUAGCGGCGUGUCGGAGCCGGUGUCACCUGCGGGAGAGGAAGGCGUGAGCGGCGCGCGGAGCCCGGGCGCUGGGGCGGGAGGGGCGUCCCCGGGGGCCUCAGCUGUCCCCGAGCCCGGCGGCUCUCGCCUCCCCUCCCGCGGCGCACCCCAGGCUCGGCGUCCGCUGGGGCCUCCUCCCAGGACCCGGGUUCGCGGGGCAGAGGCGGAAGCAGCAACAGCGAAGCCCCAGCCCGGCCCCGCCACGUCCCCCCGCCGGGGGUCCCGGGACAGCGGCCUCCUCGGCGCAGGAAGGUCCCGCCCCAGGCCCUGCAGCGCGGGAGGUCAAGGUCCCCAAGGGGACCUGCUUCCUCCAUCUCAAACCGCCCUGGCGUCCCCCGGGUGCCUCCCAGGCCCCCAGAGGGAGCUCAGAAAGCCCAGACCCCACGGCCCGCCCCUCUCCCUGCUCUGAGCUGGAGGCAGAGUCCGGGUCUGCGGGGCCGGCCCUCCCUGUAUCCCUGUGAGAGGGUCGGGGACCCGGGGCGUCUGUCUGGCUUCCCCCAGCCCUGCUCUCAGCUCCCUGGGAGCGCAGGAUUUGGACUCGCGGACUAGCUUUCGGAGCCACCUAAAGGAAAUCUCAGGCGGCCCUAGUGCCCUCAGCUCCGUGGGAGCAGCAGAGACGCCAGAGUAUCUCUGUCCGGGCUCCUGAGGGAGGUGCGGCCAGCAGGGCGCUAGAGGAGGAAGAGGGGCUGCUGGAGAGAGAGAGCGCGCCAGGUUCAGGUCCAGGGAGGAGAGAGAGCGAGCGCGCGAGGCGGAGACCUGGAGGGAGAGGAGCUGCGGAGAGGGGUUAGGCGGGGAGGGAGAGAGAGAACCAGGUUCAGGUCCAGGGAGGAGAGAGACAGCGCGCGCGAGGCGGAGACCUGGAGGGAGAGGAGCUGCGGAGAGGGGUUAGGCGGCGGGAGGCCCGGGAGCGUUACAUGUGUGUGGACUCGGGGAGGGCGGCGGGGGGCCGCUCCUCGGGGCCGUCUGCCUGCAGGAAGGAGUCCACGGACUUGCUGCUGAGGCGGAAGGGCAUCAGGCGGCAGAAGGUGCCGGGAGAGUAGGGAAUCUGCGUGCGGGCCCUCUGCGAGGGGACCACCGUCUCCCCGGGAGACAGCCAGGGCGGCAGCCUGGCCAGGAGGCUGCGGUCCAGGGCCUCGUCCGGAGAAAACACAGGGUUGUCAAUUCCUAGGAGAGAGGGCAGCGGCUAGUCAGCCUUCGGAGAGCCCCACGGCGGCAGGGGAGACCUCGCCGGGGCCGUCACCUGCUGGGUGCCUUGGAAAGUUAGGGUCACCGGGAAGGUUAGGGUCACGUGCCUUUCAGGUUGCGGGCCCUUCCCCCACAUCCAUGACCCCACACGCCACAGGCAGCACAGGUAACGUCUCGCUUCCCUCAAGACAUACCCCACCUGCUCCCUGCCCGGCCCACGUCUCCCCGGACAGCAGCCUCCGAGUUGGUUGAGGGGGCACUCAGUGGGUGCCAAGCAGGGCCCUUGAGAACCCACAGGAGACCCCACCCCCCCAGGUCCCAGUGCCCCUGGUCCAAUGACCGAGCUCCCUCCUGGGGCGGCAGGAGCCACCCCUCCCUUAGCCACGACGCCUGUGCCCCGUCCCCACCUGCAGGGGAGUCGGACGCUGUGUCCUUGGUGACACUAGCCAGGAACUCGAUCCCCCCACUCAUCUCCUCAUCAUAGUUGGGGGGCUCCUCGGUGUCUGAAAGUUCCAAGUCUGGGGAAGACAGGUUGGGGUGAGGACUGGGGUCACUGGGGGGCUGUCCUCACAGCCCAGUCAGCAGUGUCCAUCAGCUCUGUGCACAGAGGUGCAGGCAGUCGGGACCCACAGAGAGGAGGGCUAAACCGCAGGGCUGGAGGAGGGACCCCACUUAGAGGGCAGUGUCCCUGGAACCCCAUCCUGGGUGGGUCUGCAGCUGGGGCCCUGACCAUGCCUCCCCUGCCUGGGUGGCUGGAGGGUCCCCAGAGGGGAAGGUCCUGAGAGGGGAGGUUCCCGAGCCGGGAGGGCUGGGGCUGGGAGGUGGUGGCUCCCAGUCCCAGCGUUCCUGCAGGGCCCCCAGCGCACCUUUCUCCUUGAUGGUGAAAUUCUGCGCAGGGCUCUCCAUGGGCAGCUUCCCAUUGGGGAUGCUGCUGUUUCUCUGCGGAGCAAACGUGAAGCUGCUCACACCCCGACACAGCCACACCCAGCCCUGACUGCCCCCGCUCCAGGCCCCAGCCCCGCCAAGCCUCCUGGUGACCCAGCCUUACCCGCUUCUGGGCACGCUCCCGCUUGUACAGCUUGGCCGCCUUCUUGUUCUGGUUGAGCCCCAGCUUGGUCGACUUGAAGGACUCCAGGCGCUUCCGCAUGGUCCUGUGGAAGAUUUCCCGGUCCUGUUUCUCGUCCUCCGUGGGCGUGAGCUCGUGUCGGCUGUACAGAUGCUUGUACUGCGGGAUCAGGCACGGAGGUCACAGCUGUGCCCACCGCCGGACAUUCUCGCCCUCCUGCCGCAGGAGCUGAGCACGGAUCCCCCGUGGUCCCAGGAGGGGACGAGGAAGCCGCCCCACGGGGUCCCUGCGGGGUCCUCCAGCCCCCAGCCCGCAGUGCCCACCUCCUGCCGCGGCUUGUACAGGUACUGCUGUAGCGUGUGGUGCGUGACCAUGUCCUCCGCGUCCCGGAUGCUCCGCCGUCGCUGCUCCAGAGACUGCAUGUCCAGGCAGACAGCGCUGACAUUUUCUCUCCUGCGUGGGGACCAGCGCUGAGCCAUACAGGCUCCCUCAGGGCCAGGAGCCACCACAGCCCUGUCUGUGACUCUCAGCUCCCGAGGCUGGGCUCUUCCCCAGGGAAGCUGCAUGACCAUGGCCACAUACAGGAGGUAGGAGACAGAGGCCUCCACGGUGGACGAUCGUGGCGUGAAGUCCACGUUGACCACGUUGUCGGUGCUGGGGGAGCGGAUGAAGGCCAGGGACCCGCGGCGCUCUCCCUGUGGUCAGGAAGCAGCCCGGAGACCCUAAAACUCCAUUGGCCUCAUGUCCAGAACUGAAUCAGGUUCAGCUCGUGGAAGACAUUCAGGAUCCGGUCUCGAGACUUCUGGGCCGACCGUCUCAUGAGGACCCUGCUGAGGAACUUCCUGUCGAAGUGGGACCACCUGUAGGGACAGACCUUGGGUGUGAGCCUCAGGUGACAGGCGCCCUAGAGCCCGCCGGACGCGUGGCCCGGCCCCUUCUCUCCUGAAUUUUGUUUGCUAUAGUGACCCUGUAGGCGCGUUUAAAAUGAGGGAAGCAGCCCCUGCCACACGCCCAGGCCGUCCGCCGUUCUCCCGCCUGUCCUGUUGGAUGGAGGCCGUUAGACGCAUAUGAAACUGCAUGCCGCCUCCUCCAGAGGGUGGCUCAGGACACGCCUAACGGAAUUAGAGUAUUCGCUGGUUAUCCAGAUCAGAAGGGACGGUGGCCUGGCCGGACUUAGAGGAAACUCUGGGGCACAAGGAGGUGAUGCCUGUCACUUGGACAUGGGUGCAGCCGCCAGAGCCGCCCUCCAGGGCACAGGGUGGGCCCGGGUGAGCUUGUGUGCUCACACCUGGGCAGGCCCCGCGGCAGCAAUGGCAGCUCUCCUGUACAGGCUGAGUUUCAGCCACACCAAGAAGUCAAAGCUAACCGAGGCUGUGCCUUCCGAGACCCCCGGGAUGGCCCCUGGGAGGCCAAGGAGUCGGGGACUGGGUACCCGGAGCAGAGUCACUGUGGCCACGGAGAACCGCAGCUGAGCUUUAUGAAGCCACGUGGCCACACCUCCCGGUGCCUCCACCCCAAGCAAACACAGAUCGCUCAGAAAAUGGGAACCCAGGGCAAAUUGUAUGUGCUCCUUACUGGGUUUAUUAUAAGUGUCACAUGUUUUUUAUAAUAAAACAUAGGUGAUUUCACCUUAAUGGACAAACUCUUUUUUUUAUUUUGGGACGAAGUCUCGCUCUGUCACCAGGCUGGAAUGUAAUGGCGCAAUCUCGGCUCACCGCAGCCUCCACCUCCCGGGUUCAAGCGAUUCUUGUGCCUUAGCCUCCUGAGUAGCUGGGAUUACAGGCCCACGCCACCACCCC